rnacentral:misc_RNA from 1 species
AAAGUGCGAUAAGCGUCACGACUUGCAGAUUCCCGAGAGCUGACAAGUCUCUGAAUGCAAAUAGCGGCCGAUUUCAAGUCGGUCAUGUGCUGCAGAGUGUUGUUGCUAUGGCUAAUCAUCAAACGCCUCCCCGCUCCGGGUUGAAGCGUUGGAUUUGUCAAUAGCACAGAAGGUCAAAGCGUGAUCUUCCAUGCUAAUGAUGAAAUCUCCGCGCAAGACCAGUGCGGCCAGAAUUUACUGGACCAACGCAUCGAAUGUCUUGCUGCGGCUUCAUUUCUCUUCUCAACCUCUGCAGUGCAGGAGAACCCGCUGAACUUAA